rnacentral:tRNA from 2 species
GGUCGCUUAGCUCAGCUGGUAGAGCGUUGCAUUCACAUUGCAAAGGUCGAAGGUUCGAGCCCUUCAGCGACCA